rnacentral:rRNA from 1 species
AGUGAACGCUGGCGGUAGGCCUAACACAUGCCAGUCGAACGGCAGCACAGUAAGAGCUUGCUCUUACGGGUGGCGAGUGGCGGACGGGUGAGGAAUACAUCGGAAUCUACUUUUUCGUGGGGGAUAACGUAGGGAAACUUACGCUAAUACCGCAUACGACCUACGGGUGAAAGCAGGGGAUCUUCGGACCUUGCGCGAUUGAAUGAGCCGAUGUCGGAUUAGCUAGUUGGCGGGGUAAAGGCCCACCAAGGCGACGAUCCGUAGCUGGUCUGAGAGGAUGAUCAGCCACACUGGAACUGAGACACGGUCCAGACUCCUACGGGAGGCAGCAGUGGGGAAUAUUGGACAAUGGGCGAAAGCCUGAUCCAGCAAUACCGCGUGGGUGAAGAAGGCCUUCGGGUUGUAAAGCCCUGUUGUUGGGGAAGAAAAGCAGCAGGUUAAUACCCCGCUGUUCUGACGGUACCCAAAGAAUAAGCACCGGCUAACUUCGUG